UAACUUUAUGGAGUCCCUGGUGGCAUU
rnacentral:piRNA from 1 species